GACCCUUGGCUUCUUUCCUUUCUUGUAACAGCGACCCGCGAACGACCACGAAGUCUAGAUAACAAUAAUAUAUAAUUUCCCUAACUGUUUUUAAAUGCUAGAACAUGGAUUUAUAUGAAUUAGAAGACGAUUUGGAUUACAAAAUUCUAGAAGAAUUGAGUGUAGUGGAUGAAGCAGCAGAGGACCAAGAAAAUGGUGUUGUUGUAGCAGAUAGAUGUGAAAGGAUGUGACUGCCAAUGACACAGAUUCAAGGAAAAAGAAAAUGACUAACAAAUCUCGGACCAAAAAAAUAAGUAUAGAUCGUCCAGCAGGAAAGUUCACGGAGGACGACAUGUUGAUGAAGGUAAAGGACCAUGUCACAUCUGCUUUCAAGUUAUUGGUAGAGGACCCUGUCUACAGCAAUAAGCGGUAUCCAAUUCCAAUCGAAUUUGAGACAAGGAAACAUUUGACUGUAAAUCAGCUUAGCUCAAUGAGUGAAAUCGAUUAUCUGGAUGUGAUGUUUCA